UAAGGCCUAGUGCAGCCCCCAGGCGACCUGCAGGAACUCCGUCGGGAGUUACAGCUGCUCCUGCAACCCACCUUUCGAGGGAGAUGGACGAACUUGUGAGUUCCAGUGCAGAAGCCCGGCAAAGGUCCUCGAGGGUCUGGGAUGCGUGAAGCUUCUGUCGGAAUUCAAGACCUUUGAGGAGAUGAACGCCACCUGCCACCAGGCACAUGGCCGUCUCCUGCAGGACUUAUCUGUUGGAAGUUUACAGGAACUUGGUCGGGCUUUUGGUUCAGGAGGGAUAUGGGUAGGCGUCCAAGACGGGAAAUGGCUGGAGAGCGGACUCCCUCUGCAAGAGGAGCUUUGGACGGAAUAUUCCCGGGGAUCAGACCCUUCCGGGAGAAAGGGGCUUUGUGGCGUCAUUUAUAUGGAUAAUUCUUAUUUGUACAAAGUGUUUCAACGUAAUUGUUCAACAAAGGCAUUUGGUUACUGCCAGUUUUUAAUCCCCCAGAUAUAGCCAGUCAACAUGAUGCUGAUCUUCUGUGGGAGGAGAAGGAGGCAGAAUAAUAAUAAUAAUAAUAAUAAUAAUAAUAAUAAUAAUAAUAAUAAUAAUAAUAAUAAUAAUAAUAAUAAUAAUAAUAAUAAUAAUAACCAUGAAUCAAUAAUCCACCCUUCUUAGCCUAAAACAUCUUUGUGAUGAUUGUAGUCUGUAGGAGGAGGAAAUGUUUGACCUAAAACAGAAUUGUUAUUAUUUUCUUCACUGUAACAUUUCACCAAUAUACUAUGCAUGUUCA